AAUGCAUAAAAGACGUUAUUUAUCAUUUAUUUUUAUUUAUUUUCUGCAUUUAAGAAAAAUAUUUAUAGAUAUUCGCUGGCAACAUUAACUAUAACUAGUCUUCUCGUAACAUAAUUCGUUCGUGAUUUUUACUAAAUCGCAAGAAAUUGCAUAUAUUUCAAGUAUUGUUUCAUCAAUUUAUGAAAUAAAUAAUUACAUAAUUCAAUUGUUUUCAUCACAAUUUUCUUUUACUGAAGAUUACAAACAUUAUAGAUCAGAUAAUAUAGUUAUGAAAUAUUAUUCGUGUGCGAGUUUAAAAUAUGCAUAAACAAAGGACUUAUUUUGUUACAUAAUUAUCUAUCCUUGGAUUUAAAUCCUAUAUUUUUAUUUCUGAACGUACUUGAAGGCUAUGGUAUAUCUCUUCACCUGAAGGGACAUACAGGAAUGACAACACCUGAAGAUACAUAUUCGUAAUGCACACACAUCAAUAAUGUGAUCCUUUAGGUGGUCCAUGGUUUUACAACUUUACGUGAUGAAAAAUGGUUCAGCAAUUGUUAUGAGAACUUGUGUCCAUUGUCAAGAUAUUUGUUAGACGUGAUAUUAAUCAGGAUUAAGGAAAAUCAUUCUUGAGAUUUCUGAGAAUCGUCAACUACAUCAUUCUUGAGAGGUGUGAACUUCCAAUUGAGAAAUGCUGAUAUUAUAAGAUAUUGUGUUGAAAUUUCAGCUAGCGUUUUUCUUAAUUAAAUGGUUAAUUCUUCAUAAAAAAAGCAACAUUGUGUGAGCAUUUACUAUUAGAAUUUAAGAAUAAUUUUUUUUACUGCCAUUCUUAAGAAUCAUACUGAAAUCUGUCACGUAAUGAACAUUGACCUCCAUUUUGUCUGCUUAAAAUACUGAAUAGAUGUAAUCUUGUAUGGCAACAAGAAAAAUUAAGAAAAUCUAUUCAAAAUUAUAAUAUUCCAGAUAUAUUUUUGGCAGAAUUCGCUUCUGCUUACUAUACCAAUUAUUUUAUUGUAUUUUGUACAUUGUUGAUAUUAUUUUUUGCUUUGUUUUUUUAAAUUUAUGUAUUUUUAAUUUAUAUUUUUACCCCCGUUACGAGUUCUACUUUCUAUACUAUUUAAAUAAAUAAAUAUUAUUCCAGAUAAAAUAAAAUUCUAUUGAUACAGAUGGAUCAGGAGAGAUGCCAUGUCGUUUAUCAUCACAUACAACUGUAAGAAGAAGCUUGAAUAACAAAUGGGGAUGAAUAAGAAAGUCUUAAAGGAAAUUGCAUCUAUCAAAAUCUAAAGAUUUCAAUUGUCUAGUUUCCGAGAGAUUUAGAAAGAAAUAACAGAGAUAAAAACAGACAGCAAAGUCAAUUUUGAUCCUAAAAUAAUUCCUUUUUCUAACAUGAAAAAAUAUUUAUUUUUUAUAAAUAAAUAAGCACAUAUAAAAAAUCAAAAAUGGAAAUACAUUA